AUUGAACGCUGGCGGCAUGCCUUACACAUGCAAGUCGACCGGCAGCAUGGAAGAGCUUGCUCUUCUGAUGGCGAGUGGCGAACGGGUGAGUAAAGCAUCGGAACGUACCGUGUAAUGGGGGAUAACGUAGCGAAAGUUACGCUAAUACCGCAUACGACCUGCGGGUGAAAGCAUGGGAUCGCAAGCCCUUGCGUUAUACGAGCGCCCGGUGUCAGAUUAGCUAUGUGGUAGGGUAAAGGCCUACCAAGGCGACGAUCUGUAGCGGGUCUGAGGGGCUGAUCCGCCACACUGAGACUGAGACACGGCCCAGACUCCUACGGGAGGCAGCAGUGGGGAAUUUUGGACAAUGGGGGAAACCCUGAUCCAGCCAUGCCGCGUGAGUGAAGAAGGCCUUCGGGUUGCAAAGCUCUUUCGGCCGGGAAGAAAUCGCACAGGCUAAUACUCUGUGUGGAUGACGGUACCGGCAUAAGAAGCACCGGCUAACUACGUGCCAGCCGCCGCAGUAA
rnacentral:rRNA from 1 species